rnacentral:rRNA from 1 species
GACGAACGCUGGCGGCGUGCCUAAUACAUGCAAGUCGAGCGGACAGAUGGGAGCUUGCUCCCUGAUGUUAGCGGCGGACGGGUGAGUAACACGUGGGUAACCUGCCUGUAAGACUGGGAUAACUCCGGGAAACCGGGGCUAAUACCGGAUGGUUGUUUGAAUCGCAUGGUUCAAACAUAAAAGGUGGCUUCGGCUACCACUUACAGAUGGACCCGCGGCGCAUUAGCUAGUUGGUGAGGUAACGGCUCACCAAGGCAACGAUGCGUAGCCGACCUGAGAGGGUGAUCGGCCACACUGGGACUGAGACACGGCCCAGACUCCUACGGGAGGCAGCAGUAGGGAAUCUUCCGCAAUGGACGAAAGUCUGACGGAGCAACGCCGCGUGAGUGAUGAAGGUUUUCGGAUCGUAAAGCUCUGUUGUUAGGGAAGAACAAGUACCGUUCGAAUAG